UGUGUAUCUCUGUAUGUCAGGUGUAAGUCGUCCUAAAGUGAUCGUCCUGCCGCCGUCCAGUGAAGAGAUUUCCAUCAAGAAGACAGCAACAGUGAUGUGUGUGGCCAGCAAUGGUUUCCCUUCAGACUGGAGUCUGAGCUGGAAAGUGAAUGGGAAGAUGUCAGGAUCUCAGGAGAACAGAGCUGGAGUCCUACAGAAAGACGGCGGUCUGUACAGCUGGAGCAGCAGUCUGACUCUCACUGAACAAGAAUGGAUCAACAGAGACUCAGUGAUCUGUGAGAUCAGUCGGGAAGGUCAGACAGUCACUGGAGAAGUGAAGAAAGAUCUGUGUUCUGAGUAGAUCCUCUCUUCUUCUCAUCUCUUCUUCUCAUUCAUGUCUCACAUCAACAGUGAACAACUAUUCAUACAACACUCUGUGUCUCUGAUUUAUUCAUUCUGUCUGAUUCUAAUAAACUUCAAUAAAAGUGAAGUAACAUUA